UACAGAGGGUGCGAGCGUUGUUCGGAAUUAUUGGGCCUAAAGCAUCCGUAGCCGGUUCUACAAGUCUUCCGUUAAAUCCACCUGCUUAACAGAUGGGCUGCGGAAGAUACUAUGGAGCUAGGAGGCGGGAGAGGCAAGCGGUACUCGAUGGGUAGGGGUAAAAUCCGUUGAUCCAUUGAAGACCACCAGUGGCGAAGGCGGCUUGCCAGAACGCGCUCGACGGUGAGGGAUGAAAGCUGGGGGAGCAAACCGG
rnacentral:rRNA from 1 species